AUUGAACGCUGGCGGCAGGCCUAACACAUGCAAGUCGAACGAGUGGCGGACGGGUGAGUAAUGUCUGGGAAACUGCCUGAUGGAGGGGGAUAACUAUUGGAAACGGUAGCUAAUACCGCAUACCAUCAGAUGUGCCCAGAUUGGAUUAGCUUGGUGGGGAGGUAACGUCUCACCAAGGCGACGAUCCCUAGCUGGUCUGAGAGGAGGACAAGCCACACUGGAACUGAGACACGGUCCAGACUCCUACGGGAGGCAGCAGUGGGGAAUAUUGCGCAAUGGGCGCAAGCCUGAUGCAGCCAUGCCGCGUGUAUGAAGAAGGCCUUCGGGUUGUAAAGUACUUUCAGCGGGGAGGCGUUACCCGCAGAAGAAGCACCGGCUAACUCCGUGCCAGCAGCCGCGGUAAUAC
rnacentral:rRNA from 1 species